CACGUAGGGCGCAAGCGUUGUCCGGAAUUAUUGGGCGUAAAGAGCUUGUAGGCGGUUUGUCGCGUCUGCUGUGAAAUCUCAAGGCUCAACCUUGAGCUUGCAGUGGGUACGGGCAGACUAGAGUGUGGUAGGGGAGACUGGAAUUCCUGGUGUAGCGGUGAAAUGCGCAGAUAUCAGGAGGAACACCGAUGGCGAAGGCAGGUCUCUGGGCCACUACUGACGCUGAGAAGCGAAAGCAUGGGGAGCGAACAGG
rnacentral:rRNA from 1 species